rnacentral:rRNA from 1 species
UCUUAUGAAGUUAGCGGCGGACGGGUGAGUAACACGUGGGUAACCUGCCCAUAAGACUGGGAUAACUCCGGGAAACCGGGGCUAAUACCGGAUAACAUUUUGCACCGCAUGGUGCGAAAUUCAAAGGCGGCUUCSGCUGUCACUUAUGGAUGGACCCGCGUCGCAUUAGCUAGUUGGUGAGGUAACGGCUCACCAAGGCAACGAUGCGUAGCCGACCUGAGAGGGUGAUCGGCCACACUGGGACUGAGACACGGCCCAGACUCCUACGGGAGGCAGCAGUAGGGAAUCUUCCGCAAUGGACGAAAGUCUGACGGAGCAACGCCGCGUGAGUGAUGAAGGCUUUCGGGUCGUAAAACUCUGUUGUUAGGGAAGAACAAGUGCUAGUUGAAUAAGCUGGCACCUUGACGGUACCUAACC